AGAGGCUCUGUCAUUGUCCGGGGCAGGGGUCCUCAAACUUCGGCCCCCCAGAUGUUGCUGAACUACAACUCCCAUGAUUCUCUGGUUAUCUAUGUAAUUCAAAGAAUCAUGGGAGUUGUAGUUUGGCAAUAUGUGGGGGGCCGGAGUUUGAGGACCCCUGGUCUGGAGUCUCU